UUACGGCCACAUCAUGUUGAAAAACUGGUACUCGUAUGAUCAUCAAAGUUAAGCAACAUCGAGCCUGAUCAGUACCAAGAUGAGUCACUGCUUGGGAAUACCAGGUGCUGUAAG